GUUGGGCGAGAGCGCAGGUGUAGCUUAGGUGGGAUUGCUUUACGGCGCAAGUGAAAGACCACUACUGCGUUCCUCGUUCAAC
rnacentral:ncRNA from 1 species